GAACGAACGCUGGCGGCGCGUUUAAGCAUGCAAGUCGAGCGGUAAGCCGGAGCAAUCCGGCCUAGAGCGGCGGACGGGUGAGUAACACGUGGAUAAUCUGGCCUACAGUUUGGGAUAGCCUGGUGAAAGCCAGGAUAAUACCGGAUACGACGGUUUUUGUCAUAAGACGGAAACGGGAAAGGGGCUAAGGCCUCGCUGAAGGAUGAGUCCGCGUCCCAUUAGCUAGAUGGUGAGGUAAAGGCCCACCAUGGCGAUGAUGGGUAGCCGGCCUAAGAGGGUGAACGGCCACAUUGGGACUGAGAUACGGCCCAGACUCCUACGGGAGGCAGCAGCUAAGAAUCUUCCGCAAUGGUCGAAAGACUGACGGAGCGACGCCGCGUGAAUGAUGAAAGGCCGUGAGGUUGUAAAGUUCUUUUCUGGAGGGAGAAUAAGGUCUGUAGGGAAUGACAGGCUGAUGACGUGAAUCCAGGAAUAAGCCCCGGCUAACUACGUGCCAGCCGCAGC
rnacentral:rRNA from 1 species